CUCUCUUUGUUAUUUAUAUAUAAAGAGUUGGGCCUGCUCGGUGAUGAUUAUUUUAACAGCUGCGGUAUUUUAACUGUACUAAGGUAGCAUAAUAGUUUGCCUUAUAAUUUGAGGCUAGAAUGAAUGGUUUGACGAAGGUUAAUCUGUCUCUAUUUUAUUUAAUAGAAAUUAACUUUUAGAGUGAGAAGGCUUAAAUUUUUUAAAGGGACGAGAAGACCCUACUGAGCUUGUAAUUUUAUUUUAUUAUUUUUAGGUAGUAGGGUAUAAAUUUUAAUUGGGGUGAUUAAGGAAUAAAGUGUAUUAGGGUAACUUCCUUAAGUGAUAGUAUAUGUGUAUUAAGUAACCAAUAAAUUAUAUUGCUUAUAUUAUAGUUACCAUAGGGAUAACAGCGUAAUUUGCUUAAAGAGUUCUUAUUGAAAAGUGAGAUUGCGACCUCGAUGUUGGAUUAAAGUAACCUUAAGGUGUAGAAGCUUUAUUAGGUAAAUCUGUUCGAUUUUUAAAACUUUACA
rnacentral:rRNA from 1 species